UUGUCCUCUAUUAUAUCGAUUUCAGUUGCAAUCUCAUCGACAAAUCGUGGAGAAUACCUUCCUUCUUCGGUGACCUCGUUUGGAAAUUGUACUUCUAUAGCCGUGGACUUAACAAAUCUCUCCACCUUCCGUAGAAGAAACUUCACGAAUUGGUCCCAUUCUGGUUCUUCAGCCCGAGGAGUGGACGAAAACUCGAACGUUUCUUGAUGGAGCUGCCUCAGGUGUACGACAGGCAUACGGAUCACUUGAGCAUUGUCUGUCAAUGUUGUUCUGUCCUGCUCUGACCGUCACCACAAUUCAGCAGCGUUUGAGGGCCAAAUAGCACCCGAGCCGAUAGCAACAUCUUGUGUUGCAAUGCAUCAUAUGAACGAGUGUGAAAGUAAGAUAUACAACGCGGAGGAGCUCACUCACGUGGGUGGAUGGGUGUUGAUACAGAGAGAAGAAAGUUUGGGUUUGUUCAGGACGAACCGACCUCACACUGCUUUUACGAACUUGACUCAUCACUCUCUGGUGCAAGGUUCUUCAACUUAAAUCUGUAUUCUGCGUCACCUAUGUUAAAUGUUACACUGCGUUUAAUACAAGAGUGGUACAACUGAUAUUUUCGGAGCAGUCGUAUCAAACACGUUCAGUACAACAAUUCUUUUAGAAAGCUAAGUAUUAAAAUGUUUUCAAGUGAAACCUAAAUUUCGUGUACGUAAACAUUUGUCUGACAUUUUUUCAGUUGUGUGUUUGAGCACAGGGUGGGAGGAUAAUAUUAAAUCUUAGAGAAAUAGGAUGGGGUGAUAUGGACUGUAUUCAUCUAGCUUAGAAUAGGGACCAGUGGCGGGCUCUUGUGAACACGGUAAUGAGCCUUUGGGUUCCAUAAAAUAUUGGGGAACUUCUUCAGUGGCUGAGCGAACGCUGACUUCUCAGAAAUGACUCGGCUCCAUCGAGUAAGUGUAAAAGAACAGGCCUUCACCGAAACGUAAGUUUAUGCACGAGGAAUUAAUAAAUAAGUGUAUGUUUAUAAAUAGAAAUUUAAAGAUGUAAAUUCGAA